UACGUAGGGUGCAAGCGUUAAUCGGAAUUACUGGGCGUAAAGGGCGUGUAGGUGGCGCCGUAAGUCGGGUGUGAAAUUUCGGAGCUUAACUCCGAAACUGCAUUCGAUACUGCGGUGCUUGAGGACUGGAGAGGAGACUGGAAUUCAUGGUGUAGCAGUGAAAUGCGUAGAGAUCAUGAGGAAGACCAGUGGCGAAGGCGGGUCACUGGACAGUUCCUGACACUGAGACACGAAGGCCAGGGGAGCAAACGGG
rnacentral:rRNA from 1 species